rnacentral:rRNA from 1 species
AGCGAACGCUGGCGGCAGGCCUAAACAUGCAAGUCGAGCGCCGUAGCAAUACGGAGCGGCAGACGGGUGAGUAACACGUGGGAACGUACCCUUUGGUUCGGAACAACACAGGGAAACUUGUGCUAAUACCGGAUAAGCCCUUACGGGGAAAGAUUUAUCGCCGAAGGAUCGGCCCGCGUCUGAUUAGCUAGUUGGUGGGGUAAUGGCCCACCAAGGCUACGAUCAGUAGCUGGUCUGAGAGGAUGAUCAGCCACACUGGGACUGAGACACGGCCCAGACUCCUACGGGAGGCAGCAGUUAGGAAUCUUGGACAAUGGGCGCAAGCCUGAUCCAGCCAUGCCGCGUGAGUGAUGAAGGCCCUAGGGUU